AAGUCGUAACAAGGUUUCCGUAGGUGAACCUGCGGAAGGAUCAUUAUCGUUGGGCUUCGGCCCAUUCGAGAUAACACCCUUGCCUUUUUGAGUACCUUUUCGUUUCCUCGGCAGGCUCGCCUGCCAACGGGGACCCUUCAAAACGCUUUGUAAUACCUGUAAUUGUCUGAUAUAACAAGCAAAAAUCAAAACUUUCAACAACGGAUCUCUUGGUUCUG
rnacentral:misc_RNA from 2 species